GCAGGCUCCCGGGCCGGCUGCGGAAGCUGUGGGCCUGGACUGGGGGUAGCAGCAGAGGGGCGGCCAGGUAGGUGCAGGCUGGAGUGCAGCGGCAUGAUCUCGGCACACUGCAGCCACCGUCUUCCAGGUUCAAGCGAUUCUCCCACCUCAGCCUCCCGAGGAGCUGGGAUUACAGGAGUUCAGUGGCAUGACCAGGGCUCACUGCAACCUUGAUCUGGGCUCAAGUGAUCCUCCUACCUCAGCUUCCUGAGUAGCUAGGACCACAGGUGUGCACCAACCACACCCGACUAAUUUUUGUAGAGAUGAGAUCCCACUAUGUUACCCAGGCUGGUCUUGAACUCCUGGGCUCAGGUGAUCAUCCUGCCUUGGCUUCCCAAAGUACUGGGAUUAUAGGCUUGAGCCACCGUGCCUGGCCUGUGAUCAGAAUUCUCAUUUUUUUAGUCACUAAAAAUGCUGGGGGGCACUCCAUUCUCCAUUAUGUGAUUAGUUCACAUUGCAUGCUUGUAUCAAAACAUCAUAUAUACCCCACAAAUAUAUACAAAAAACUUUAAAAUUUUAAGUAUUAAUUGCUCAGGAAAAAAUUAAAAUGCUGGGGUGCUGAAAUCUCAAGGGCCCCAUUACAAAACUCCUUAGGAACCUCGCCCUCUCUCUGCUGUAAGGACUGGUUCCAGAAUGAGAGAAUUUAAAAGACAUUCCCCCCCCAAAAUGUUCAUAAUGUCACCCCGGAAACCUGCGAAUAUGUUAUAUUACAUGACCAGGGAGAAGUAAGGUUGCAGAUGGCAGUAAGGUUGCUAAUGGGCUGACCUUAAGAUAAGGAGAUGAUCCUGGAUUAUCUGGGUGGACCCAAUGUAAUCACAAGGGUCCUUAACUGUGGAAUAGUGAGGUGGCUGAGUCAGAGGCAGAGUGAUGCAAUGACUGAAAGACUUAACCAGCCAUCACCGGCUUUGAAUACGGAAGACGGUCAUGAGCCAGGGAAUGCAGGCAGGCUCUGGGAGCUGAAAAAAGCAAGAAAAUGGAUUCUCCCCUGGAGCCUCCAGAAGGGAUGCGGUCCUGCCAACCCCUUGUCAGUGAGCCAUUUCAGAUUUCUGACUUCCAGGACUGUAAGAAAAUAAACUUGUCUUGUUUUCAGCC
rnacentral:lncRNA from 1 species